rnacentral:rRNA from 1 species
AGCGAACGCUGGCGGCAGGCUUAACACAUGCAAGUCGAGCGGGCCCUUCGGGGUCAGCGGCGGACGGGUGAGUAACGCGUGGGAACGUGCCUUCUGGUUCGGAAUAACCCUGGGAAACUAGGGCUAAUACCGGAUACGCCCUUAUGGGGAAAGGUUUACUGCCGGAAGAUCGGCCCGCGUCUGAUUAGCUAGUUGGUGGGGUAACGGCCUACCAAGGCGACGAUCAGUAGCUGGUCUGAGAGGAUGAUCAGCCACACUGGGACUGAGACACGGCCCAGACUCCUACGGGAGGCAGCAGUGGGGAAUAUUGGACAAUGGGCGCAAGCCUGAUCCAGCCAUGCCGCGUGAGUGAUGAAGGCCUUAGGGUUGUAAAGCUCUUUUAUCCGGGACGAUAAUGACGGUACCGGAGGAAUAAGCCCCGGCUAACUUCGUGCCAGCCGCCGCCGUAA